ACACUCCUGCGGGAGGCAGCAGUGGGGAAUAUUGGACAAUGGGCGCAAGCCUGAUCCAGCCAUGCCGCGUGAGUGAUGAAGGCCCUAGGGUUGUAAAGCUCUUUCACCGGUGAAGAUAAUGACGGUAACCGGAGAAGAAGCCCCGGCUAACUUCGUGCCAGCAGCCGCGGUAAUACGAAGGGGGCUAGCGUUGUUCGGAUUUACUGGGCGUAAAGCGCACGUAGGCGGACUAUUAAGUCAGGGGUGAAAUCCCGGGGCUCAACCCCGGAACUGCCUUUGAUACUGGUAGUCUUGAGUUCGAGAGAGGUGAGUGGAAUUCCGAGUGUAGAGGUGAAAUUCGUAGAUAUUCGGAGGAACACCAGUGGCGAAGGCGGCUCACUGGCUCGAUACUGACGCUGAGGUGCGAAAGCGUGGGGAGCAAACAGGAUUAGAAACCUCAGUAGUCCCAUGAU
rnacentral:rRNA from 1 species